rnacentral:tRNA from 1 species
GGGGCCAUAGCUCAGCUGGUAGAGCACUUGCCUGGCAGGCAAGGGGUCAGGGGUUCGAGUCCCCUUGGCUCCACCC